CGAAGACUAAUCGAACCGUCUAGUAGCUGGUUCCCUCCGAAGUUUCCCUCAGGAUAGCUGGAGCCCGGUGCAGUUUUAUCAGGUAAAGCGAAUGAUUAGAGGUCUCGGGGUCGAAACGACCUCGACCUAUUCUCAAACUUUAAAUGGGUAAGAGGUCCGGCUUGCUCGAUUGAAGUCGGACGCGGAAUGCCGGGGCUCCUAGUGGGCCAUUUUUGGUAAGCAGAACUGGCGAUGUGGGAUGAACCGAAAGCCGGGUUAAGGUGCCCGAAUCGACGCUCAGCAGAUACCAGGAAAGGUGUUGGUA
rnacentral:rRNA from 1 species